GUUGUAGGACACUCUAUACGGAGUUACAAAGGACGACAUUAGACGAAUCAUCUGGAAAGAUGAAUCAAAGAAGGUAAUAAUCCUGUAGUCGAAAAUGUUGUCUCUCUUGAGUGGAUCCUGAGUACGACGGAGCACGUGAAAUUCCGUCGGAAUCUGGGAGGACCAUCUCCUAAGGCUAAAUACUCUCUAGUGACCGAUAGUGAACCAGUACCGUGAGGGAAAGGUGAAAAGCACCCCGGAAGGGGAGUGAAAUAGAACCUGAAACCGUGUGCUUACAAGUAGUCAGAGCCCGUUAAUGGGUGAUGGCGUGCCUUUUGUAGAAUGAACCGGCGAGUUACGAUUUGAUGCAAGGUUAAGCAGUAAAUGUGGAGCCGUAGCGAAAGCGAGUCUGAAUAGGGCGUUUAGUAUUUGGUCGUA
rnacentral:rRNA from 1 species